ensembl:lncRNA
UACUGCAACUCAUUUCUAGUUCCUGUGCAGAGAGGACAAAUGAUGUCACUGCGAGUGCAUAAGUGCAGUCAGACUUACUGACCUGCUGUCUAAACCAGACUCCAGAUCUCCUCACGGCCAUGAAGAAGGCACAAUUUAAUACUUUUGUGUAGAUUACGCAUGCUCUUGGAAGGCUUUCACAUGCUACUGGCCAAGGCUGGCAUAAUGGCUCAAAGCUUGUUCAGCAUGUUCUGAUGCCACUGGAAUGCUUUGCUUUUAUACCCCUUCUACAGCUACACACCAACAUCAGGAUGCUCAAAGACGCUAGAUCGCAUGGACUCAGAAGCUUCCCAGAUGUGCUGGCUUACAGAGUUGUGGAGCCACAGCUGUACAAGAGAACAGAGUUCACACCGAUGAAUUUGGUGGGUCUGACAUUGAGCACCCUAGGGUCUGUUUAGCAUGAUGUUUUUAGACAAGCAGUCUUCCCAAGAAGGACCUCUUGAAACAGACUUACAGGUUGAGUUUUGGAUUUAACUGACAUUCGUGUGUAAAUAUGAAUGAUUAGUAUGAACAGACUACUGUUGAAAUAUUUGUUUACAGUAACAGCAUGUUUAUUAAGUUUUAUUGAAUUUUGUUCAGUGUGCAAUAUUAAAUGCAGAACUUGCUUACAAAAAAUACAUAAAAUUAUGGAUUAUAAAGCUAUUUAUUGAAAGUUCUUUUUGAAAUGUUGCACUGUGAAACAAUGGUUUGGUUUAAAUCACAUGACCGAAGCAGAUGUUGUGUUAUAAUUUUGACUUUUAACUUUCCAUUUCUAGUGUGAUGGAUAGUCUCACCAGAACAUUCUCAUAGUCAAAGCUGCAAUGGAGAAUUUAUUGUACAUCUCUGAAGAGCGAAUACUUUCAGUGAAACUUGCCUCAGUUUUCCAUCUGUUAGUUCAAUGACACAAGCAGCUUCUCACUUUCCAAAGUAUUCCUAACUAUCAUGAUGAAACUGAGAUAAACAAGCUGCAAAACAGAACAAGGAGACUCAUUUAAGCCAAUUUUCAAGUCACAUCAUUUUAUUAUGUAAUUACUUCCACACAAUUAUGUAACUGAAUAGGGACUUUAUUAACAUCUUAGAGUUAAAAUAUAGUGUUUAAUAUACUUUGUUUUGUUCACUCCAGAUUAUAUAAUAUUAUAGAUUUAUAAUAAUGGUAUAUACUGUACAGUAUACUAUACUAUAACACACACACACACACACACACAGAUAUGAUGAAGUUAUAAUUUACAUAAGCUGUUGCUUGUGCCACAUACUUCUAAACUGCAUAAACAUCUUUUCUCCAAAAUAUUUCUCAUCUAAUGCUUGACAUAUUUGUUUAGAUUCAAAAGAGAAGAAAAAAACAAUCACUUCAGGGUUCUUAUAAGAUCAAUAGCCCAGCUUUGGUGGAACACGGACAAAAGGAAAGAACUCAGAGGUUGUCCAGCGUUCAUUUUUUUUUUUUUUUUUGUACCAGAAAAAAACAGUGUUCCUUAGUUAAUGUAGAAGAGCAAGACUGACAGUGUUCAUUAGGGAGAAAGGACAGUCUGUUUGCAGUGGGGUUUAUGGUUUUAAGUUGUUCUCCAGGUUUACUCCUAUAACAGAGUUAACCUACUGAUCAGUUCAUGCAGGUGUCUGAAAUCACCUGACCUGAUGUUGCUUCCCAUGCUGGCAACAACAGCAUACAAAAUCUCUAGCAGCUUGCUGCAAGUUUGACUGCUUGAGAAAGUUUUUUUCUGAUAAUUCUGUUCAAACAUUCCAACUUUCAAUUCAAUUUAAAUUCAUUUACAAAGCUCUUUUUUCACAUUACACAAGUAAGUUGAAGAAACCUUGAGAGGAACCACAUAACCGUAUUCAACCUCUUGAAAGUUUUCAUGUUUAUUUGUUUUACAGCACUGAUACACUGAUUAAAUAGCUUUUUUGACCCUGAUCUACAGAAAAAUGUUUUCAUGUGAAAAAAAAAUAUUAGAAAUUAUAAUUGAAUAAUAAUAAUUUGCACACCAGCAGCAGCCUUGUAUGUCUGUGGAAAAGUCUCUGUUAGCUUUGCACAUCUGGCACCUCAAUUUUCCCCCAUUUUUCUUUGCAGAAUUUGACAUUAACAUGUUGUUUUUAAGCCAUUUGCUAUAUAGCACUGACUUAAGUUGUUUAGGGUCAUUCGCGUGUCUGAGAACAGAUCACCAGGUUUUCUUCUAGGAUUUCCUUGUGUUUUGCUGCAUUCAUUCAUCCCAUUCUCACUUUCAAGGCGUCAAAAACUAUCUUUAUGCGAGGAACUGAGUGAAAACUGAGUUUUAAUCACUGACUUUUCAGUAUUUGGUCUAAUAUUAGUAUUUUUUAAAUUUUACUUCUGUUUUUAAUGUGCAUAAUGCAGUUUGUGAACAUUGUAAAAGAAAGCUGUUUCUGAAAAAUAUUGAUCUGUGCAUAAAAACAUAUGAAGCUAAUAGCAUGUUUCCUAAUAAUAUCACCUAAAGGCAGCAUGUAAAAGGAGAACAUCAAAGGACCUAAGAUUUAGCCUUGUGGAACACCAUAUUUUACAAUUGUUAGGUCAGACAGCUGAACUGAAAUGUGACAAUACUGUACUAUAUCUCCAUGGUCUCUUUCUAUGUGUAGACUAAUAAUAGAUAAAUGGAGUGAUUGAUGUUGCAUUCAACUGAUGGAGUCUAAAUGGCUCAUGGUUACAUUGCCAACAUUCACAUGAUGAUUACUCACUACUUUAAGCUUGAUUGAAAAGCAUGCCUCAUAAGCACACAUUAAUUCACACACAAACUUUAAACUGUAAAUCAGAUUUAAUUGGAAUGUUUCAAUAAUCUGUAACAUAGCAAAUAUUUGGCAAGAAAAACUGAAUGUAAUAAAGUACAAAUGCAAAAAUUCCUGGGAUCUGUGGUGUUUAAUUCUGAAAGGGACUUUGAAAGGGCUCUUUGUGCUUUGCAAAGAUUCCAGCGCUCAGCUAAUCAAAUGGAUUAGAGGGGCUCUGAAAGCCCUCCAAUUUAAAACAACCAUCCAUGCAAAAUAAACAGCCUUCCACCAUCUAGUGUUGUGUGUGUGUGUUUGGUGAGUGGCC